GAAACAGCGUACCAUAUUCUCCUCGACUGCUUCGCCCAAAUCCCAGAUGGGCCAAGCGCGGCCUGCCUUUUCAGGGGGUCGAUCUCAAUCAUCGGUCUGCGCCUCGUAAGGGCAGGGCGAUCAAUGGAGGUAGAAUAUGAAUAUCGAGAAAUAUUCCGAGCGGGUGCGCGGUUUCAUUCAGUCGGCCCAAACCUAUGCGCUGGCGCAGGGGCAUCAGCAAUUUUCACCCGAACAUGUGCUCAAAGUUCUGCUCGAUGACGAUCA
rnacentral:sRNA from 10 species